GCAGCUCCUCCCCCAGGGCGCCCUCCGGCCCCAGCAACAGCAGCACCAGGCACGUCAGGGCUAGUGCGCACGCGCACCGCAGAACCGGAGCCUGGAGGCGGCGAAGCAGACCAAGGGGCGGGCGGUCAUGUGACGCCCGGACCCGCGACUUGUGGCCGGCAGGGCGAGCUGGGGCACGGGGACCGCUCUGACCCAGGGACGUGUCUGCCUCUGGGACGUAGACAGGUGCACGAGCGCCGUAAGGGAUGUCCAGGUGCCCAGGCCGAAUGGUGCACCCCUGGACGUGCACAGGAAACAGGCUCAGAGAAGUUAGGAGACCUACUGAAGACCCGUGGGGCUGAGAUGCAAGCUCAGGAUGAGAUCUGGAGCAGCAGUCCCACCUUCUCGGAAAGCUACCCCCAGCCAGUUCCGUGCCUCUCUGUUCUUCAUGCCUCAGGCCAUCUGCACUGCUCAGUCCCCCUCCUUCGCCUCCAAGUCCCUUGGCCCAUCAGCCGCUCCUGACUGCAGGGCUGCUUGCUAUGCUAUGUGGCCCCUCCUCCUGCCCCC
rnacentral:lncRNA from 1 species